rnacentral:rRNA from 1 species
CGAGUUUGAUCUUGGCUCAGAGUGAACGCUGGCGGUAGGCCUAACACAUGCAAGUCGAACGGCAGCACAGGAGAGCUUGCUCUCUGGGUGGCGAGUGGCGGACGGGUGAGGAAUACAUCGGAAUCUACCUUUUCGUGGGGGAUAACGUAGGGAAACUUACGCUAAUACCGCAUACGACCUACGGGUGAAAGUGGGGGACCGCAAGGCCUCACGCGAUUAGAUGAGCCGAUGUCCGAUUAGCUAGUUGGCGGGGUAAUGGCCCACCAAGGCGACGAUCGGUAGCUGGUCUGAGAGGAUGAUCAGCCACACUGGAACUGAGACACGGUCCAGACUCCUACGGGAGGCAGCAGUGGGGAAUAUUGGACAAUGGAAGCCUGAUCCAGCCAUACCGCGUGGGUGAAGAAGGCC